AUUGAACGCUGGCGGCAUGCCUUACACAUGCAAGUCGAACGGCAGCACGGGGGCAACCCUGGUGGCGAGUGGCGAACGGGUGAGUAACAUAUCGGAACGUGCCCUGGAGUGGGGGAGUAACUAGUCGAAAGACUAGCUAAUACCGCAUACGAUCUACGGAUGAAAGUGGGGGAUCGCAAGACCUCAUGCUCGUGGAGCGGCCGAUAUCUGAUUAGCUAG
rnacentral:rRNA from 1 species